UAUAUCUCCAAAACUAAAAUAUCUAUCAAAAAUUUUUCAACUGAUGAAAUGUAGCAAAAUUUUA
ensembl:ncRNA F47G4.10 ncRNA